GGGAAUCUUCCACAAUGGGCGGCAAGCCUGAUGGAGCAACACCGCGUGAGUGAAGAAGGGUUUCGGCUCGUAAAGCUCUGUUGUUAAAGAAGAACACGUAUGAGAGUAACUGUUCAUACGUUGACGGUAUUUAACCAGAAAGUCACGGCUAACUACGUGCCAG
rnacentral:rRNA from 1 species